AUGGAUACAUGUGACCAAGCAUUUCAAGUUAAAGAUAUUUCUGAAUCUUGGACCUCUUAUUUACAGUGAAGCCCCCUCCUGCAUAGUAAAGCAGAGAGCAAUGUAAAAGCUUGCUGCAUCAAUAAUCAAUUUCUGAUGGAGUCUCACUCUGUUGCCCAGGCUGGAGUGCAACAGCACGAUCUUGGAUUACUGCAAACUCUGCCUCCCAGGUUCAAGCGAUUCUGCUGCCUCAGCCUCCCAAGUAGCUGGAAUUACAGGCACCCGCCACCAUGCCUGGCUAAUUUUUUGUAUUUUUAGUAGAGACGGGGUUUCACCGUGUUAGCCAGGAUGGUCUUAAUCUGCUUACCUUUUGAUCCACCCAUCUUGCACUCCCAAAGUGCUUGGAUUACUGGCAUGAGCCAUUGCACCAGGUCUUAUUUAUCUUUUUGAGACAGGGUUUAGCUCUGUCACUCAGGCUGGAGUGCAGUGGUGAAAUCAUGGCUCAAUGCAGCCCCAACCUCCAGGGCUCAAGUAACCCUCCCACCUCAGCUUCCUGAGUAGCUGGGACCACAAGCGUGUGCCACCAUACCUGGCACAUUUCUUAGACCUCUGAAAAGAUGCUCAACACCAUAUGUCACUAGGAAUAUUCAGUAUUCAACUAGAGGCUUCAAUGGGCUCUGAAGUAUCCCCUCUUGAACUCUAUAAAAAGCGUAUUUUCAACUGGCAGAAUGAUAACAAAGGUUUACAUCUGUGAGAUGAAUUCACACAUCAGAAAGCAUUUUUAUAGAUAGAUUUUCUCUAGUUUUUAUUGAAGAAUAUUCGAUUUCAUGUUAUAGGCCUCAAUUUGCUCCAAAAUUUCCCCUUGUAGAUUCUACAAAAAGAAUAUUUCCAACCUGCUGAAUCAAAACAAAUGUUCAAUUCUGCGAGAUGAUAUGCAAAGCUUUUUCACAGAUAUCUUGUUUCUAAUUUUUAUCCUGGGGUAUUUGGUUUUUCACUAUAAGCAUCAAUGGGCUCUGAAAUGUCCCUUUGCAGAUUCUACAAAAAGAGUGUUUCCAACCUGUUGAAUCAAAAUAAAGUUUUAACUUUGUGAGAUGAACGCACACAUCGCAAAGCAUUUUCACCCAUAGCUUGUUUCUAAUUUUUAUCAUGGGUUAUUGGUUUUUCACUAAAUGCCUCAAUGGACUAUGAAUUGUUGCCUUGUAGAUUGCACAACCAAAGAGUUUCCAACCUGCUGAAGCAAAACACAGGUUUAACUUUGUAAGAUGAAUCUGCACAUUGCAAAGCAUUUUUACAGAUAGGUUGCUUUGAGUUUUUAUCAAGAGAUAUUUGAUUUUUCACUUUAUGCUUUAAUGGGUUAUGAAAUCUCCCCUUGGAGAUUCUACAAAAAAAGUUUCCAAACUGAUGAAUCAAAAGAAAAGUUCAACUUUUGAGAUGAAAUCACACAUCACAAAGUAUUUUCAGAAAUAGCUUCUUUACAGUACUUAUCGCAGGAUAUUAGAUUUUCCAAUAUUAGCCUCAACGAGCUCUGAAAUGUCCCUUUGUAGAUUGUACAAAAUGAGUGUUUCCAAACUAUGGAAUAAAAAGGAAGGUUUAACUCUGUGAGAUUAAUCCACACAUCACAAAACAUCUUCACAGAUGGCUUGUUUCUAAUUUUUAUUGUGGGAUAUUCUUUUUUUCACUAAAGGCCUCAAGCACUCCAAAAUGUCCCUUUGUAGAUUCUAUAACAAGAGUGUUUUAAAACUGCCGAAUCAAAACAAAACAUGUAACUCUUUGAGAGGAAUCCACACAUCACAAAGCAUAUUUUCAGAUCACUUGUUUCUAGUUUUUAAAGCAUGAUAUUCGGUUUUUCACUAUAUGCCUCAUCGGGCUCAGAAAUAUCUCAUAGUAGAUUUUACAAAAAUAGUGUUUCCUACCUGCUGAAUCAAAACAACAGUUUAAAUCUGUGAGAUGGCUCCAAACCUCGCAAAACAUUUUCAGAGAUAGUUUUUUCCUAGUUUUUAUUGCAGGAUAUUCGGUUUUUCAGUAUAGGCCUCAGUGAACUCUGAAAUGUCCAUUCAUAGGUUCUAUAAAAGUGUGUUCCCAACUCCCAGUAUAAAAGGAAAGGUUUAACUCUGUGAAAUGAAUCUACACAUUGGAAAGCACACAAAUAGCUUGUUUCUAGCUUUUAUGAUGAGACAUUUGAUUUUUUACUAUUGGCCUCAAUGGGCUCAGAAAUGUCUCUUUGCAGAUUCUACAAAAAAAAAGUUUUUCAUUUUUCUGAACAAAAAUAAAGGUUUAAUUCUUUGAUAUGAAAUCACACAUCAGAAAGAAUUUUCACAGAUAGCUUGUUUCUAGGGUUCAUCACUGGAUAUUGGGUUUUUCACUAUAGGCUUCAAUGGAGUCUUAAUUGUAACUCAAUUCUACAAAAAGAGUGUCCCCCAACCUGCUGUUUGUAAAUAAAUGUUUACCUCUGUGAGGUAAAUCUUCACAUCAUAAAGCAUUUUCCCCGAUAGCUUGUUUCUAGUUUUUAUCUCGGGAUAUUGAUUUUUCACUAUAGGCUUCAAUGGGAUUUGAAAGAUUCCUCUGUAGAUUCUACAAAAAGAGUGUUUUAACCUGCUGAAUCAAAACAUUUAACUUUUUGAGAUAAAUCCACACAUUACAACGUAUUUUCACAUAUAGGUUUUUUUUUUUUUUUUUUUUUUUUUUUUUUUUUUUAGAUGGAGUCUCACUCAGUCCCCCAGGCUGGAGUGCAGUGGCACGAUCUCAGCUUCCCAGUUUGAUGCCAUUCUCCUGCCUCAGCCUCCCGAGUAGCUGGGACUACAGGCGCCCGCCACCAAGCCAGGCUAAUUUUUUUGUGUUUUUAGUAGGGACGGGGUUUCACCGUGUUAGCCAGGAUGGUCUCGACCUCCUGACCUCGUGAUCCACCCGCCUCAGCCUCCCAAAGUGCUGGGACUACAGACGUGAGCCAUUGCACCUGGACAAUAGCUUUUUUUACUUUUAUUGUGAGAUAUUGGUUUUUCACUACAGGCUGAUAUUGGCUUCAAAUUGUCCCCUCAUGGAUUCCACAAACAGUGAGUUUUCAAGCAUCCGAAGCAAAAUAAAGGUUUAACUUUGUAAGAUGAAUCUGCACAUUAUUGCUGGAUAUUCAGUUUUUCACUGUAGGCAUGAAUUUGCUCUGAAAUGUCCUAUUGAAGACUUUACCAAAAGAGUGUUUCCAUCCUGCUGAAUCAAAAGAAUGGUUUAACUCUGUGAGAUGAAAUCACCCAUCGUAAAUCAUUUUCAGAGACAGCUUCAUAUAGUUUCUAUCUCAGAAUAUUUGGUUUUUCACUAUAAGCCUCAAUGGGGUUUGAAAUGCCUCCUCAUAAAUUGUACACACACACAAAAAAAGGAGUUUCCAACCUGUUGAAUCAAAACAAAUAUUUAAUGUUGUGAGAUAAAUUCAAAUAUCACAAAGCAUUUUCACGGAUUUUUUUUCUAGUUUUUAUCACGGAAUAUUUGGUUUUUCACUAUAGUCUUCAGUGGGCUCAGAAAUGCCCCUUGUAGAUUCUACAAAAAGAAUGUUUCUAACCUGCUGAACCAAAAAAAAUCUUUAACUCUUUGAGGUGAAUCCACACAUUGCAAACAUUUUCACAGGUAGCUUGUUUCUAGUUUUGAUCACAGAAUAUUGGAUAUUUUACAGUAGGCCUCAAUGGGAUCAGAAUUGUCCCCUCUUAGAUUCUACUAAAAGAGUGUUUCCAAAAUGCUGUAUAAAAAUGAAGGCUUAACACUGUGAGAUGAAUCGA
rnacentral:lncRNA from 1 species